AUUGCCCUAGUAACGGCGAGUGAAGCGGCAACAGCUCAAAUUUGAAAUCUGGAUUCCUUGACUGGGUCCCGAGUUGUAAUUUGCAGAGGGUGCUUUGGCGUGGGCGGCGGUCUAAGUUCCUUGGAACAGGACGUCACAGAGGGUGAGAAUCCCGUACGUGGCUGCACUGCCCGCGCCGUGUAAAGCCCCUUCGACGAGUCGAGUUGUUUGGGAAUGCAGCUCUAAAUGGGAGGUAAAUUUCUUCUAAAGCUAAAUACUGGCCAGAGACCGAUAGCGCACAAGUAGAGUGAUCGAAAGAUGAAAAGCACUUUGGAAAGAGAGUCAAACAGCACGUGAAAUUGUUGAAAGGGAAGCGCUUGCAGCCAGACUUGCCUGCGGUUGCUCAGCCGGGCCUCGUGCCCGGUGCACUCUUCCGCGGGCAGGCCAGCAUCAAUUUGGGCGGCUGGAGAAUGGCCUCUGUCACGUACUACCCUUCGGGGUAGCCUUAUAGGGGAGUCGUCAUGCAGUCAGCCUGGAUUGAGGACCGCGCUUCGGCGAGGAUGCUGGCGUAAUGGCCGCAAGCGGCCCGUCUUGAAACACGGACCAAGGAGUCUAACAUCUAUGCGAGUGUUUGGGUGUCAAGCCCGGGCGCGCAAUGAAAGUGAACGGAGGUGGGAACCCCCUUGGGGCGCACCAUCGACCGAUCCUGAUGUCUUCGGAUGGAUUUGAGUAAGAGCAUAGCUGUUGGGACCCGAAAGAUGGUGAACUAUGCUUGAAUAGGGUGAAGCCAGAGGAAACUCUGGUGGAAGCUCGCAGCGGUUCUGACGUGCAAAUCGAUCGUCAAAUUUGGGCAUAGGGGCGAAAGACUAAUCGAACUAUCUAGUAGCUGGUUCCUGCCGAAGUUUCCCUCAGGAUAGCAGUAACGUAUUCAGUUUUAUGAGGUAAAGCGAAUGAUUAGAGGCCUGGGGGUUGAAACAACCUUCACCUAUUCUCAAACUUUAAA
rnacentral:rRNA from 1 species